rnacentral:rRNA from 1 species
UACGGAGGGAGCUAGCGUUGUUCGGAAUUACUGGGCGUAAAGCGCACGUAGGCGGCUUUGUAAGUUAGAGGUGAAAGCCUGGGGCUCAACUCCAGAAUUGCCUUUAAGACUGCAUCGCUUGAAUCAUGGAGAGGCGGGUGGAAUUCCUAGUGUAGAGGUGAAAUUCGUAGAUAUUCGGAAGAACACCAGUGGCGAAGGCGGCCCGCUGGACAUGUAUUGACGCUGAGGUGCGAAAGCGUGGGGAGCAAACAGG